CUACAAUGGCGUAAACAAAGGGAGGCGAAGUGGUGACAUGGAGCGAACCCCAAAAAUAAACGUCCCAGUUCGGAUUGUAGUCUGCAACCCGACUACAUGAAGCUGGAAUCGCUAGUAAUCGCGGAUCAGAAUGCCGCGGUGAAUACGUUCCCGGGUCUUGUACACACCGCCCGUCACACCAUGGGAGCCGGUAACGCCCGAAGUCAGUGACCCAACCGAGAGGAGGGAGCUGCCGAAGGCGGGACAGGUAACUGGGGUGAAGUCGUAACAAGGUACC
rnacentral:rRNA from 1 species